rnacentral:lncRNA from 1 species
CUCAUACCAGCAUGCUGCACCAGGAGACCUGCCCAGUGGUCAGGGCCUGGCCCUGUUGGCCCGUACUGAUCGAGGCCAGGAGCAGAGCUAAGUGUCUACAGUGAUCUGUCUGGGUCCUCACUGCCCUGUGUGGUAGGGAAUUACCUUCAACUUAGGACUGAGAAAACUCAAGAAGACCUAAGAAGUGCCUGGUCCAGGAGUGGAGCUGGAAUAGGAACCCAAGGCAGGCACAGCCCAGGGUCUUCAUUGCUGGGCUUCUUGCCUGAAUGAAAGACCUGUGCUACCGAGUACCUCACAUGCGCCUGCCUUUCCUCCAGGUGAAUCAGUGCACCGUCCAAGCAUGUUCCUUGUUGUGUCCUACCGUAAAUUUCAGGAUUGCAUUUCACCCAUAAGGUUGUAAGCACUUUACCAGGGGCAGAGUGCUGUCAUGGAAUCAGCGUGAGAUUUGAAGUCAGAAGGUUUGAAUCUGGACUAGUUCCCAUGUCCCUUUUCUCAGCCCCUGUCCUCGGGCACUGUGAUAAUAUGUCAGUGAUACAUGUGGGAUACCAGUGAUAGUGUGUAUCCCACAGCUAGCGGGAUCAGCCCAGCUCAUGCGUGUAAGUACUAAGCACCAUACAAAUGAUUCGAGUAAUAUUUUUGGUCAGUUGUGGAUUAUUCUCUUUAACAGAUGUGUUCUGAAAAAUGGAAUUGAGUUUCCUUACAGCUGGAGAGAAACAAGUCGAGUCCAGCCUAGAAGAAAGUGGCCCCUUCGUCUUUCAUCCUGCAUGAGAACUGUCUGCAGCUGCUUUUCCGUAAAUGAUUCUGUUUGUAGAACACAGAAGAAGAUUAGCCCUGAGCUAACAUCUGCUGCCAAUCCUCCUCAUUUUUUGCUGAGGAAGACUGGCCCUGAGCUAACAUCCAUGCCCAUCUUCCUCUACUUUGUAUGUGGGACGCCUACCACAGCAUGGCGUGCCAAGCGGUGCCCUGUCCGGACCCGGGAUCUGAACCGGCGAACCCCAGGCCAGCGAGAAGCGGAACAUGCGCACUUAAGUGCUGCGCCACGGGGCUGGCCCCCUAGAAGACUUUCUAAACGUUCUAUAAUCACACCUAAAAUGGAGUUUCAAAUUGAUUUGUGUGAAGGAAAUAUUUUUAGGAUAAAUGCAUAGGCCAUUAGAAAUGCAAUAUUUCUAAAUGAUUCGUAUUCGACAAGUUGAAUUUGGUUAGAUUUUGAUCAACCAAUGCAUUCAAUAUUUUCUAUUAUAAAAUUUUAUAAGAACAAAUGCAAAUAAUUGUUCAUAGGGUUUAUUAACAAUUUAUCCAUUUACAAAGAUGCUUAGAAAUGGUUUGCUGUCUCCCAAAUUUAUUUUGCAUGAGAAAUUGCUUGGUAAAUAUUUAUGUUUCCUCUAUUAUUGUAUUUAAGCAUGUUUUUGUUGCAAGUAACAGUAACUGACUGACUAUGCCGUAAGCAGAGAUGGAAAAGAUCAGAGGAGUCUCGGGAAACCCAGGAGGC